rnacentral:lncRNA from 1 species
UAUGAAGUAAAUCUGUUGGUUUAGUUGUGUCCCAUAUCACUAAGCAUAGGACAGUAAGCGAGGGCGGUCCAACUACCCUUACAGCCGUAGGAAGCACGGAUUGUUGACAUCAACAAUCAUCAAACUGUCAGAACACCAAAGGUGUUUGCUUCGUACAUAUCGAUAAAUGCGUGGCUUUGGAUGUACAGUGUUAUAGGUACUACUCUCCAAUGACAUACUCGCACCCCUCCAGCCCAAUCCAGACCUCAUGGAUCUUUCCGGCAGGUACGUCGACUCUGUCCCCAACACCAAGUGUCUCCUUUUUGAUCUCACCAUUGUGGAGUGUGGCGUUGUCCGUCGGAUAUGUUAUGGUGAGAGUGCCCCGUCUGAUCAAGUGAGUUGUCAUCCCAUUGUGAGAAUGCGGCGGAUAAUGAGCGCCGCUAUUCGUUCAUUGUUCGCCGUCAGCCUUCUGUCUCGUAUGUAGGGUUUCUUGAUACGGAAAUCAUGCAUGAAGUUAGGGAAUGAAACUACCUCGAGUCUGUCCAGGUGAAAACAUGAGGGAACCCCCAGUCUUUCACCAUUUUCUCGCAUUCAGCGCGACUACCGAUCUCAUACUUUUCUGACGACAUUUCUGCUCCUUUCCCAAGUAAUAUUCGCUGCAGAAAUUAUGCUCCAGAUACAAAUGAACUCAAUCUCAAAAGAUCGACGAGAUUUUUGAAGUCCGAUUUGUGAGAUCCGUAGGUUCCGAGGAAAAGAAGAAACAGCUGCGAUCGAAACUGAAAAGGACUAGAAGAACGCCUAUAACUCUAGUAACAGGGUGUCAUAAUGAAGCCAGGAUCAGACAUCGGUCUUGCUGCUUAUAAAAAUGGCAGCAUCCAGGGUUCCUCGGGUCUUUGUUCCGUGAUGAUGGUUGAUGAUGAUUAGGGUGAUUCGACCUCCUAUUGGCCUCUAUGCCUCGCAAUUGCGACCUGGAAAACGAUGUCAGAUAGAUUGACUGGAAAUUAUAUGCUUGCCAUGUAUAUACUUGGGCGCGGCCUCUAUCUCAUCGAGUCAUUCUAUGCUUAACUUGUGCUUUGGUCUGCGAUCACUCAACCCGUCAAUGGCUUGUAGGCGGCUAUAGACUAUUCCACCCCAUGACGAAUUGUCCAUCAAAUUGUAUUCGGAAAACUAUUCCGCUCCUCAUCAAUAUCGAAUGUUGCUGCUCAUACGUCUAAUUUAUAUGCAGAUUACAUCUUUGUCUAACCAUAGACGCCUUAGUUGAAUGUCCAACAUAAGUUACAUAACUAAAGCCUCCAUAACUAUCAGUACGCAUUCGGUAUAGUACUCAUGGGGAUCGAGAUCACUUCUGUAAUUAGCUCGUGCAUGACCAACGAAGAUUUUUCACAAAAAGUGCAAGCAGACGCGAACUAAUACGGUAUUCGCCUGUAGGGCUUUGUACUGCGUAGCUGAGCUGUAACACGUGAGUCAUCGUGUAUCAUCUUUAGGCUUCGAGAGACUUCAACCGUCGCACAGUCCAUAAAUGUGGACUUCCAAUCCAGAAAAAUAUAAAGCAGUUUCAGGGACGAUAUGCUCUGAAAAUAUGACAGAAAGUCUCCCCAAACAAGGGCCUGAGGCAAGGUACUGGCCAGAAUCUCCUCGCUGACAGAUCAUCCGUGAAGGUGAUGAUUGUUGUGACAGCUGCUUAAUACAACACAGAAUUCCAUAUCAAUCUCCUCGAGACACUGUGUAUUUCUAAUUGUCCAUAACCUUCUAGUCCUGUCAUGUACUCUGUGUGCUCUGGUACAUAUCAUUAGAGCAAUGGUGAGUACUGUGAACUGUCGUAGACCCCCACUCAUAUCCAAUACCCCGUAUUCAUCGACACAUCCAUGCUUCGGUAGCCUAUCAAGAGCAACUCUAAUCGCUCUCGACAGUGCACUUGGGAGGUAGUCAGUUAGCAAUACCCAUGGAUACAUAAUUAUUAUCAAUGUGACAGUCUGUCAAAGGGGUCUUCGCUCCACGGGCUUUGAAUGGCUCUUACGAAGGCUUUUCUCAUUCUUCCUCUUACAGCUGACGGUCAGCAGUUGCUACUACACUAAUCCAUGAAAGUAAAUCCUCAAUAUGGGGCGGCGUGUUCGCUUAUUGCCGAGUUGCAAUGUCCUA